UACGGAGGAUCCAAGUGUUAUCCGGAUUUAUUGGGUUUAAAGGGUGCGUAGGCGGCCUAUUAAGUCAGGGGUGAAAGACGGUAGCUUAACUAUCGCAGUGCCUUUGAUACUGAUGGGCUUGAAUGUACUUGAGGUAGGCGGAAUGUGACAAGUAGCGGUGAAAUGCAUAGAUAUGUCACAGAACACCAAUUGCGAAGGCAGCUUACUAAAGUAUGAUUGACGCUGAGGCACGAAAGCGUGGGGAUCAAACAGG
rnacentral:rRNA from 1 species